CCUAGAGCAUGCACAAGCCAUGUUUACCCUAUAUUGCAGUCUUCUGUGCGUAACAGCAUCAAGUCUAAAAAAGGAUAUACAGUAAUUUAAAAAUACUGUACUGCUAAAAAAUACUAACCACAUGAGCCUUCAGUGAGUCAUCAUAGUGAAAGCAAAGAUUACUGACCACAGAUCACUAUGACAAUGUGAUAAUGAUGAAACAGUCUGAAGUAUUUCAAGAAUUACCAAAAUGUGACGUGAAGUGAGCACAUGCUGUUCAAAAAAUGGUAUCAGCAGACGUGCUUUACACAGGGCUGCCAUGAAAUUUUAAUUUGUAAAAAACACAAGAUCUGGGAAACAAUAAUGCAAAGCACAAGAAAACAAAGUAUGCAUGUAGAAGGAAACUUCCUCAAAUUGAUCAAGGGCUUUUACAAAAAAACCUACAGUUAGUAUCAGUCUUAUUGAUCAAUGGCAGAACAUUUUCCUUUAAAGAUCAGGAAGAAGUCAAGGAGGCCUGGUCUUACCAUUUCGAUCCUACAUUGUACUAAAGCAUCUAACCAGCGAAAGAAGGCAAGAAAAGUAUAAAAGGCCUAAAAAUUGGAAAUGAAGAAGUGAAAUUUGCAACGACUAUAUAGACUAUCCUAUGGAAUCUACAAAAAGCUCCUAGAGUUAGAGCGUUUGUUAAGGUUUCAGGAUACAAGAACAAUAUGCAAAACUUAAUUGUGCUACUACAUGAUAGCAAUGAAUAAUCAGAAUGUGAAAUUAAAAGUAUAAUACUUUCUGUUUUGCUUUUUAGGGCCACACUAGCGGCAUACGGAAGUUCCCAGGCUAGGGGUCAAAUCGGAGCUGCAGCUGGAGGCUUCACCACAGCCAUGGUAACCCCAGCUCCUGAACCCACUGAGGGAGGCCAGGGAUUGAACCCACAUCUUCAUGGAUACUAGUCAGGUUCAUAACCCUCUGAGCCACAACGGGAACUCCCACUACAAUACUAUUUAUAGUAGCACCCCAAAAUGAACUAUUUUGAGGUAAAUUUAACAAAACAUGUGAAAGGGAGUUCCCUUCGUGGCUCAGUGGUUAACGAAUCCGACUAGGAACCAUGAGGUUGUGGGUUCGGUCCCUGCCCUUGCUCAGUGGGUUGCCGAUCUGGCGUUGCCAUGAGCUGUGGUGUAGGUUGCAGAUGCGGCUCGGGUCCCGUGUUGCUGUGGCUCUGGUGUAGGCCGGUGGCUACAGCUCCGAUUCGACCCCUAGCCUGGGAACCUCCAUAUGCUGCGGGAGCAGCCCAUGAAAUAGAAAAAAGAGCAAAAAAAAAAAAAAAAAAAGGUGAAAGAACUGAAUACUGAAAAGUAUAAAUUAUUGUUGAUGAGAAUUAAAGAACUAAAUAAAUGGAGACCAAUACCAGAUUCAUGGAUUGGAAGACUUAAUAUAGUCAUAAUGUCCAUGAUCCUUAACUGGUGUGUAAAUUUAAUUCAAUCCCAAUCAAAAUCCCAGUAGAUUUCUUUGCAGAAGUUGACAAGCUAAUUUAAGAUUUAGGCAGAAGUGCAAAGGACAUAUGAUAACCAAACACCUUUGAAAAAAGAGAAAAAAAUUGGAGGAGUUAUAUUAACUUUUCCUAGACUUAUUACAGUUAUAUUUAUUAUAGCAGUGUGGUAUUGGUAUAAGCAGACACAAAUCAGAGCUGCAGCUGCUGAACUACAGGGCAAUGCCAGAUCCUUAACCCACUCAGUGAAGGCAGGGAUCGAACUCACAUGCUCAUGGACACUGGUAGGGUUCAUAACCCGCUGAACUACAAAGGGAACUCCCAUAAGCUAUCAGACUUUAAGUAAAGGGAACAUAUAAUAAGUAGAAUUUAAGCAAGUAUCCUGUUGUGAAGGCCAAGGAGAAUGAAGAUUUGCAGGCCAGUGGAGGUAAACCCUUUCCCUACAGUUAAAAAGCCAUGUCAAGAAUUCCUGCUUGGGCUCAGCAUGGUGUCGGAGAGGACGUGGGUUCAAUCCUUGGCCUCAUUCGGUGGAUUAAGGAUCUGGCAUUGCCACAUGCUGCAGCAUACGUUGCAGACGUGGCUCAGAUCCGUUUUGUUGCCUUGGCUGCGAUGUAGGCUGACAGCUGCAGGUCUGAUUCAAGCCCUGGCCCAGGAACUUCCCUAUGCCACAGGUGUGUCCAUAAAAAGAAAAAAAAGCCAAGUCAAAGUCAUGUUAAAGGGUAUGUCCCCCUGAGCAUGAGUCACAUACAAGGCAAAGUCUUCUAUCAGCAUGUACUGUUUGUCUAGUCCUGACAAAUAUUAUUCCAAUUUGUACUGAACAAACUCAAACAUCUUUAAGGAACAUAUAGGCUUAUAUAGAAGUUCCUGUUUCCGGUUCUGUCUAGUUUACCUUGGCACUAUUUUCAUGGAAGUCAAAUAUUUGGUGCUUUGAACAAAUACAGAACAAAUUCCAGGGUGGAACCUGUACAACACAAUUUCCACAGUGGAGACUGUUUGGCUUAAUCUAUUUACAGGUUUCAGAUAGGAAUUGCUUCCAUACUAGGACAACAGCAGAGGCAGAGAAUGUCGUCCAAAAAAGCAUUAAACUAGGUAUCAGAAGUCUAAUUGUGUGACCCUAGGCAAGUUGCCAACCUCACUGAGUCUCAGAUUCCUUGACUGUAACACUGGGGUUAGUGGUAAAACUUCACAUUUCUAUAAGAAGCAAUGAGAUAACUGAUUAAAAUGUGGCCCAUCACUGUUGUUUAAAUAAUUAAAAAGCAAAAUCUUAAGACUCUUACAACCAACAGGGAUGGUGAUGGUACCAGAGUCUCAGUCAAUCAAUGACUUCAUCUCAGAGGAGAGAUUUUUUUGAUAGAAACCUACCCUGGAAAUUGUUCCCUUCUUACUAAAACACAGAAUGGAGGGUAACAGCCCCACCCCCAAAAGUGUGCUUAUUGGUCAAAAGUGCCUCCUGGAAGGAGACACUGAGAGCUAAGAGGGAGAAAGUAUGCUCUAGGUGUAACGUACAACCUAGCAGACCUGUUACAGAUCAUACACAGCAAAUUUCCUGAAUCUUUAGUAUUUUGAUUGACACACAUCGUACAAACUAGGAACAGGAACGUAAAUACCAUCAUGAAGAUCGUACUCGAGUGGGUACCAAGCAACUGCGUACUCAAAGAGUGGUUCUUUGCAAGUACAAAAGCUCAUCCCAAUUCCAAUUUAAUUCUACAUGGGAUUCGAAAUGGCAUGGAACACAUAUUCGAUGAUGUCAAACCAGAAUGAUUAAAUAGAGAGUCUAAAAAGGGGGGGUGGGGUGGAGUUCCCAUUGUGGCUUAGUGGUAACUAACCUGGCUAGUAUCCAUGAGGAUGCAGGUUUAAUCCCUGGCCUUGCUCAGUGGGUUAAGGAUCCGGUGUUGCCACGAGCUGUGGUGUAGAUCACAGAUGUGGCUCUGAUCUGGCAUUGCUGUGGCUGUGAGCAGGCCAGCUGCUGUGGUUCCAAUUCAAUCCCUAGCCUGGGAACUUCCAUAUGCCGAAUGUGCAGCCUUAAAAAGAAAAAAAAAAAAAAAAAGUCUUUUGUAUGUUUUGCUUUAUUUUUUAAAUUUAAUUAAUUAAUUUAUUUGUAUUUUUAGGGCCAAACCCGUGGCAUAGGGAGGUUCCCAGGCUAGGGGUCUAAUUGGAGCUGUAGCUGCCAGCCUACACCACAGCCACAGCAACACCAGAUCCGAACCGCAUCUUCAACCUACACCACAGCUCAGGGCAAUGCCGGAUCCUUAACCCACUGAGCAAGGGCAGGGAUUGAAACUGUGUCCUCACGGAUGCUAGUUAGAUUCAUUUCCGCUGAGCCACGAUGGGAACUCCAUGUUUUCCUUUAUGUUUGCAUUUCUGUUAUACCAUUUCCUUUUUUAAAAUAUUAUUUAUGGUAUUUGGUGUGAUAUAGUAUCAUUUUCUUUUUACUCUCUUCCCUCUGACACGUUUUCAACCAGAAAUGUACCAUGGAAAAGGGAACAAGUAGGUAGAGCAUGUAAAGAUAUUUGUUCUAACUUUCUUUUACCUAUUGUCUGAGAAUGUUUAGGUAAAUCAAAUUUCUUCCCCAUUUUUUUGUGGGAGUAUGAAUUUUUAGCUAGAUAAAAUCCAUUCUAGAUUGGUUUUGGUGAAAUUAUACCUCACAGUAAGGAAAGAAAUGUAACUAGACCAAAUCUUUAGACUAGAAACUUGUGUCUAUGUUAUUUAGUGUAGGUGUCCCCCUGAAUCACAGCAUCACUUAGGUCAGCCUUGUCUGUGGAGCUUGUGCACAGGCUUGAGUGAGGCCGGAUUUUUGACACACAGAGCAGCAGAAUUUUCCUCACAAGCCCAUGGUUGCUGCAUAAUGUUACUGAAGACAACAUACAAUCAAGUAUUUCAGCAUUUUAAGGAAUCCCUGUACAAACUCUUACUAGACCCUUUGAUCGUCUCUACAAUACUGUGAUUCUGCUGAAAUAGCUCACUUUCAGGUCGGGGGAAACGCAAACGUUCCUGCGGGAGCCUAAUUCAUUAUCUCUGUAGACUUAGUUAUGAACCAAAUUGUUUUAAUGACUUUCAAGCUGCCUCUCUUUUACUUUCAUUACUGAGUCCUGGUUCCAUUCUCUGAUGCUAGGAAAAGUCUGACCCUUCCUUCACAGAUAAAACCUCCAAAUUUUGAGUUCCCAUGGGUCUUUAGUUUUCCAGGAUUAUCUUCCCUAGAACGCCUCAAUUUCCCCUCGUUACAUUUAACCACUUUACUUUCGACUCCCUAUCACAUUAAGUUUGUCAGCGUUCCUCGUGAAAUGACCCCAGAGGACUCCAUGGAACCAACUCCAAUGAGAAGGAAAACGAUAUUCUUGCCCAAAUUUGGCGGAGGCAGCCACAUAAAUUAAAAGUUAACACUUUAAUAAGAGAAAAAAGAUCUCAAGGAAGAAUUAAAAGCCCAUGCGGGAGUUCCGGUUGUAGUUCAGCCAGCCGGGCUAGUAUCCACGAGGAUGCGGGUUCCUUCCCUGGGCCUGCUAAGUGAGUUAGGGGCCAGGUGUUUCCAGUGAGCUGUGAUGUAGGUUCACGCGGCUCGGAUCUGGCGUUGCUGCAGCUGCACGCUGGCAGCUGCAGCUCCUAUUCCACCCGUAGCCUGGGAACGUCCAUGUGCUGCAGAUGCGGCCCUAAAAAGCGAAAAAACAAAAAGCCUCGGCAAAGAUUUAUCUUGUUAGAAUCACAAGCCACGCCUCCGACGCUCGCUGAGUGGGCGCACAAGCCACGCAGUAGCCGGAAGGUCGCACGGAGAACUACUCAGUUAAAGUGACAUUUCGGUGUUUUGACUGUUACCCUUUUCCAGGCGGCCUUCCUCUGCUCCAAUCUUGACUUGCAAUUAAAGGCUCCCAUUCUUCCCGCU
rnacentral:lncRNA from 1 species